rnacentral:rRNA from 1 species
AGCAGCCGCGGUAAUUCCAGCUCCAAUAGCGUAUAUUAAAGUUGUUGCAGUUAAAAAGCUCGUAGUUGAAUUUCGGGAUUGGCGCAUCGGUCGUGCCUCACGGGGUAUGAACUGGUACAGUCAAUUUCUCACCUUCUGGAGAACCGCGAUGUCCUUAAUUGGAUGCCGCGGGGAACCAGGACCUUUACUUUGAAAAAAAGUUAGAGUGUUUUAAAAGCAGGCAUUUUUUGCUUGAAUACAUUAGCAUGGAAUAAUAAAAUUAGGACGGCAUGGUUCUAUUUUUGUUGGUUUCUAGGACCACCGUAAUGAUUAAUAGGGAUAGUUGGGGGGCAUUAGUAUUCAAUUGUCAGAGGUGAAAUUCUUGGAUUUAUUGAAGACUAACUACUGCGAAAGCAUUUUGCCAAGGAUGUUUUUCAUUAAUCAAGAACGAAAGUUAGGGGAUCGAAGACGAUCAGAUACCGUCGUAGUCUUAACCAUAAACUAUGCCGACUAGGAAUCAGACGAUGUUAAUUUUUUUC